UUUCCUCAGAUCACCACCGUCUGCAGCCACCCCACCCCACAUACCCAGCCAACUCACGCAGCCCUUGUCCCGCAGACGCCCGCGGGGCCCUGCAGGAGGAAAGCGGGCCCCUUAAGCAGAAGGUUGCACGCUGCAAGGCCUAGACAACUCGGUCCCCGGUGGGCGUGAGGAACCAACACUCCCUCCCACCUACCCACGCUCUACCUCCCACGCGACCCUGCUCAGGUCAACUCUACCUCACUGCAGCCGAGAGUAGGACGAAAUGGCAGCGUCGGGCGACAAGUGCUUCCGCUUCCGGCGGCCAGAUGGUGGCAUGGCCCGGCAGCAUUUAGGCUGCGCCGGGCGGUAGGAGUCCUAGGUACCCGCGGCGGGCAGGAGGAGAGGGCGACAUGUGGCUCCCGCUGCUGCUCUGGCUGCUGGCGGGGCUGCUGUCGGCUGCCUGUUGCGGGAAGGCUGUGGCGGCGGCCCUUUCCCUCCAGAGUGCUGCCACCUCCUCCUCACGGUCCACGGUGGUGACCGGCGGUGGCACCACGCGAAGCAGCAGCAGCCGCCUGGCCGAGGUAUCGGCAACGCCUGAGCAGGGCCAGCCCAUGACCCAGCGCGCCCUGUCCGUGCUGGUAGUGGCCAGCGCCGCCCUCAUCGUUUACUUCGUGAUCCGGACCGUGCGGCUCAGAAGGCGAAAUAGAAAAACACGAAGAUAUGGGGUUUUGGAUACAAACAUAGAAAACAUGGAGCUGACCCCAUUAGAGCAAGAUGAUGGUGAUGAUGACACAACAGUAUUUGAUGCCAGUCAUCCUCGAAGUUGGAGAAGGGAUGUCAAGAUCACUUGAAUUUUAAAUUGGUAAGAAUUUAGUGAGCAAGAAGAUAAACAGCAUUUGUCUUCAGCAUGUGAGUUCCAGAGAAAUGGAGAGGAAGAGAAGUACAUGCCUUUCAGUGAAACAAUCAGAACUGGAGAAGACUGCUUCAAGGGAGGAGUAAGAAGCAAGAGGGUAUGCAAGUUGGGGGGACUAAUUUAAUCUGUGUAUAUUAUGGCAUCCUUAAUUUGUUGCAAUAAAUAUUGUACCAAUUUUUUGUA